rnacentral:rRNA from 1 species
CAGUAGGGAGGAAGGUAGUGUAGUUAACACCUGCAUUACUUUGACGUUACCUACACGAAGAAGCACCGGCUAACUACCGUGCCAGCAGCCGCGGUAAUACGGAGGGUGCGAGCGUUAAUCGGAAUUACUGGGCGUAAAGCGCAUGCAGGCGGCCUGUUAAGUCAGAUGUGAAAGACCCGGGGCGUUAACCUCGGAAUUGCAUUUGUAAACUGGCAGGCUAGAGUCUUGUAGAGGGGGGUAGGAAGUUUCAGGUGUAGCGGUGAAAUGCGUAGAGAUCUGAAGGAAUACCAGUGGCGAAGGCGGCCCCCUCGGACAAAGACUGACGCUCAGAUCGCGAAAGCGUGGGGAGCAAACAGGAUUAGAUACCCUGGUAG